AGGAAAACACAUAAAACACACAUAAUAUUUACACUUGGAGAAAGCCCCUUGAACAACCCCCAGUUGUUCAAAUAGCUGCCUCCUUUACACUUUCAGAUUUCAUACAGCUAUGUGGUCCUUUUUUGGUUAUCCACACAGUAAAUACACCAAAUUAUAAGUAUCAAACUUAUUGGAAAUAUAAAGACUAGAAAUUAAGAUGCUUUUAAUUAUUGAAGAUUAUCAAAGCAACCAUAAUAUUUGACGAUUUCAAAUUACGUCCCUUUGGCACGUAAUAUAGUCUGUCACCUCAUCCCUUAAUAGCGCUCCAAGAGGUCAAAUGGCGCCCUACCGGUGAUUGAACAGCUGUAGAAGAAAAUCUUUUGGUGUCUUCUGGCGGUGAUGAACCAGCGGCGAAGCCACAAUCUGAUUGGAAAAGUUGUAUAUCCGACGGCUGGAACCGGCCCGAGUCACCAGGAAGCCUCGCGUAGUACGCAGAAGACGAUUCACCAUUUCUGUAUUGCACUAUUGCUUUGUAUACAAAUGGAAUAAGACCCUCCAUAUCUCUCUCUCUCUCUCUCUCUAGAUUUGUGUGUAGGGGAGAGGAAGAAGGGUUUUUCCUG
rnacentral:lncRNA from 1 species